rnacentral:ncRNA from 1 species
UUUUAUGAGAGUUUGAUCCUGGCUCAGGACGAACGCUGGCGGCGUGCCUAAUACAUGCAAGUCGAACGCUUUUUCUUUCACCGGAGCUUGCUCCACCGAAAGAAAAAGAGUGGCGAACGGGUGAGUAACACGUGGGUAACCUGCCCAUCAGAAGGGGAUAACACUUGGAAACAGGUGCUAAUACCGUAUAACAAGUAAAACCGCAUGGUUUUACUUUGAAAGGCGCUUUUGCGUCACUGAUGGAUGGACCCGCGGUGCAUUAGCUAGUUGGUGAGGUAACGGCUCACCAAGGCAACGAUGCAUAGCCGACCUGAGAGGGUGAUCGGCCACAUUGGGACUGAGACACGGCCCAAACUCCUACGGGAGGCAGCAGUAGGGAAUCUUC